rnacentral:rRNA from 1 species
UACUAGAGUAGCACUCGCAUAUCAAUAAGCGGAGGAAAAGAAACUAACAAGGAUUCCCUUAGUAACGGCGAGUGAAGCGGGAAGAGCUCAAAUUUGAAAUCUUCAAGGUUCUACCUUGACGAAUUGUAGUUUAUAGAAGUGUUUUCUGUUAGUAGAGUGGCAAAAGUUCUUUGGAAUAGGACAUCAUAGAGGGUGAGAAUCCCGUAUUUGGUCAUUCUUUCUAGCUUUGUGAUACACUUUCAACGAGUCGGAUUGUUUGGGAAUGCAGUCCAAAAUGGGUGGUAAAUUUCAUCUAAAGCUAAAUAUUGGCGAGAGACCGAUAGCGAACAAGUACAGUGAGGGAAAGAUGAAAAGAACUUUGAAAAGAGAGUUAAACAGUACGUGAAAUUGUCAAAAGGGAAGCGUUUGACACCAGUGUUGUUUUUCCGAAAAUCAAUUACGAAUGUUUUGUUUUUGAGGAAGUUAUGACUUCAUCGGCUUGCUUCUCUCUUUACGAAACUUUCUUAAUGCACUUUUCGGUUAACAAGUCAACAUCAAUUUCUUUUGUUGUAAAAGGGUAUGAGGAAGGUGGCUUUCUUUUCGGAGAAAGUGUUUAUAGCCUUGUACCUCUGCAAUCGGAGAGAUUGAGGUCUGCAGCGUAGAUCCUUCGGGGUUAGAUACAUUUGUGCUAAGUUAUAGCUUUUCAUAGACAACUUGUUGACUAUGUUUAGUCUUGUAGCUUACUCGCUUAUGCUAUUUUACCUACGCUUAGGAUGUUGAAGAUGUAGCACAUCAU